rnacentral:tRNA from 1 species
GGCGGCGUAGCCAAGUGGUAAGGCAAGGGUCUGCAAAACCCUCAUACGUCGGUUCAAAUCCGACCGCCGCCUCCU